rnacentral:rRNA from 1 species
GAUGAACGCUGGCGGCGUGCUUAACACAUGCAAGACGAACGGUGAACACGGAGCUUGCUCUGUGGGAUCAGUGGCGAACGGGUGAGUAACACGUGAGCAACCUGCCCCUGACUCUGGGAUAAGCGCUGGAAACGGCGUCUAAUACUGGAUAUGUGACGUGACCGCAUGGUCUGCGUUUGGAAAGAUUUUUCGGUUGGGGAUGGGCUCGCGGCCUAUCAGCUUGUUGGUGAGGUAAUGGCUCACCAAGGCGUCGACGGGUAGCCGGCCUGAGAGGGUGACCGGCCACACUGGGAUUGAGACACGGCCCAGACUCCUACGGGAGGCAGCAGUGGGGAAUAUUGCACAAUGGGCGAAAGCCUGAUGCAGCAACGCCGCGUGAGGGAUGACGGCCUUCGGGUUGUAAACCUUUUUUAGCAGGGAAGAAGCGAAAGUGACGGUACCUGCAGAAAAAGCGCCGGCUAACUACGUG